CCUACGGGAGGCAGCAGUGGGGAAUAUUGCACAAUGGGGGAAACCCUGAUGCAGCGACGCCGCGUGAGCGAUGAAGUAUUUCGGUUUGUAAAGCUCUAUCAGCAGGGAAGAAAAUGACGGUACCUGACUAAGAAGCCCCGGCUAACUCCGUGCCAGCAGCCGCGGUAAUACGUAGGGGGCAAGCGUUACCCGGAAUUACUGGGUGUAAAGGGAGCGUAGACGGCGGUGCAAGUCAGAUGUGAAAGCCCGGGGCUCAACCCCGGGACUGCAUUUGAAACUGUGAUGCUAGAGUGUUGGAGAGGCAGGCGGAAUUCCUGGUGUAGCGGUGAAAUGCGUAGAGAUUAGGAGGAACACCAGUGGCGAAGGCGGCCUGCUGGACUAUAACUGACGUUGAGGCGCGAAAGCGUGGGGAGCAAACAGGAUUAGAUACCCCAGUAGUC
rnacentral:rRNA from 1 species